rnacentral:lncRNA from 10 species
UCAGAACGACCUCAUUUCGCAGAGGUGUAUUAUUCUCCUACUGUAUGCAUGGCUCUGUGCGGAUUACCAAGGGAAAGGUCACUACCCCAAGGAGUGUGCAAUCCAGCUGGGAGAUAAGACAAGCACGCAUGACAUUUCAGUAACAGCUACAAACAGCUACAGAGUGCGGUGGCGCCAGCACAGAGCUCUGCUCAACGUCCCUCUGUGCUUUCACGAUGCUGAUGGAUUAUGAAGUCCACAGACAGCAAGGGCAGUAUCACUGCAGUGGCAGUCGCAGAUGGACUUUCAGUCGCCUCUAGGAGCUCCACCCCACAGAAACACAGACAGCAGCCAGUGGAAAUGUUCAGCUGAGUGUGAGGUGCCUGCACUGUGGGCCCAAGCCAGGAGCCCUGCCUGGUGAAGAGUAGCAGAUGAGGAAGCGGAUGCAUAGCAAGUUUAAAUAGCUUGCAGAAGGACACACAGUUUGCAAGUGAAGGAGCUCAAAUUCAAAGACUGGCAGUCUGCAUCCAGAGUUGAUCAUCUUAAAUACCAUGCUGAACCGGUUGCUCUCAAAGUCUAAACAGUAUUUUUUACAAUAAGAUAUCCUUUUGUAGGUCAACGAAUAGUUUCUAAUUCUUUUUAAAAUAAAAUACAAUGAACUGAAUACAAUUUAAUGCAUCAGAGUAAAUUUUACAUAGCAAAGUAUGUAUUAUUUUCUUUCAGCUAUGCAAUUCCACUAGUAUGAGGUAUCUACUGUAGUGAAACUCACAGAAACAGAAAG